GACGAACGCUGGCGGCGUGCUUAACACAUGCAAGUCGAACGGGAUUUAGUAGACGGAAGCCUCGGUGGAAGAUUACUAAUGAGAGUGGCGAACGGGUGAGUAACGCGUGAGCAACCUGCCUAUGACAGUGGGAUAGCCUCGGGAAACCGGGAUUAAUACCGCAUAAAAUCGUAGAAACACAUGUUUCAACGGUCAAAGAUUUAUCGGUCAUAGAUGGGCUCGCGUCUGAUUAGCUAGUUGGUGAGAUAACAGCCCACCAAGGCGACGAUCAGUAGCCGGUCUGAGAGGAUGAACGGCCACAUUGGAACUGAGACACGGUCCAAACUCCUACGGGAGGCAGCAGUGGGGAAUAUUGCACAAUGGGGGAAACCCUGAUGCAGCGACGCCGCGUGAACGAAGAAGGUAUUCGUAUCGUAAAGUUCUGUCCUAUGGGAAGAUAAUGACAGUACCAUAGAAGAAAGCUCCGGCUAAAUACGUG
rnacentral:rRNA from 1 species